rnacentral:rRNA from 1 species
AACGAACGCUGGCGGCAUGCCUAAUACAUGCAAGUCGAACGAGAUCUUCGGAUCUAGUGGCGCACGGGUGCGUAACGCGUGGGAACCUGCCCUUGGGUUCGGAAUAACUUCUGGAAACGGAAGCUAAUACCGGAUGAUGACGUCAGUCCAAAGAUUUAUCGCCCUAGGAUGAGCCCGCGUAGGAUUAGCUAGUUGGUGGGGUAAAGGCCUACCAAGGCGACGAUCCUUAGCUGGUCUGAGAGGAUGAUCAGCCACACUGGGACUGAGACACGGCCCAGACUCCUACGGGAGGCAGCAGGAGGGAAUAUUGGAAAAUGGGCGAAAGCCUGAUCCAGCAAUGCCGCGUGAGUGAUGAAGGCCUUAGGGUUGGAAAGCUCUUUUAACCGGGAUGAUAAUGACAGGACCGGGAGAAUAAGCUCCGGCUAACUCCGUG